GAUGAACGCUGGCGGCGUGCCUAAUACAUGCAAGUCGAGCGAACAGACGAGGAGCUUGCUCCUUCGACGUUAGCGGCGGACGGGUGAGUAACACGUAUGUAACCUACCUAUCAGACUGGGAAAACUUCGGGAAACCGGAGCUAAUACCGGAUAAUAUUUCGAACCGCAUGGUUCGAUAGUGAAAGAUGGCUUUGCGAGCACGUAUAGAUGCACUUGCGCCGUAUUAGAUAGUUGUUAAGGUAAAGGCUUACCAAGGCAACGAUACGUAAGCGACCUGAGAGGCGGAUCGGCCACACUGGAGCGUAGACACGGUCCAGACUCCUGCGGGAGGCAGCAGUAUGGAAUGUUCCGCAAUGGUCGAGAGCCUUACGGAGCAACGGCGCGUGAGUGAUGAAGGUCUUCGGAUCGUAAAGCUCUGUUAUUAGGUAAGAACCACCGUGUACGUAACUGUGCACGGCUUGACGGUACCUAAUCAGAAAGCCACGGCUAACUACGUG
rnacentral:rRNA from 1 species